rnacentral:rRNA from 1 species
GCGUGCCUAAUACAUGCAAGUCGAGCGAACAGAUGAGAAGCUUGCUUCUCUGAUGUUAGCGGCGGACGGGUGAGUAACACGUGGGUAACCUACCUAUAAGACUGGGAUAACUCCGGGAAACCGGGGCUAAUACCGGAUAAUAUUUUGAACCGCAUGGUUCAAUAGUGAAAGACGGUUUCGGCUGUCACUUAUAGAUGGACCCGCGCCGUAUUAGCUAGUUGGUAAGGUAACGGCUUACCAAGGCGACGAUACGUAGCCGACCUGAGAGGGUGAUCGGCCACACUGGAACUGAGACACGGUCCAGACUCCUACGGGAGGCAGCAGUAGGGAAUCUUCCGCAAUGGGCGAAAGCCUGACGGAGCAACGCCGCGUGAGUGAUGAAGGUCUUCGGAUCGUAAAACUCUGUUGUUAGGGAAGAACAAAUUUGUUAGUAACUGAACAAGUCUUGACGGUACCUAACCAGAAAGCCACGGCUAACUACGUGCCAGCAGCCGCGGUAAUACGUAGGUGGCAAGCGUUAUCCGGAAUUAUUGGGCGUAAAGCGCGCGUAGGCGGUUUCUUAAGUCUGAUGUGAAAGCCCACGGCUCAACCGUGGAGGGUCAUUGGAAACUGGGAAACUUGAGUGCAGAAGAGGAGAGUGGAAUUCCAUGUGUAGCGGUGAAAUGCGCAGAGAUAUGGAGGAACACCAGUGGCGAAGGCGGCUCUCUGGUCUGUAACUGACGCUGAUGUGCGAAAGCGUGGGGAUCAAACAGGAUUAGAUACCCUGGUAGUCCACGCCGUAAACGAUGAGUGCUAAGUGUUAGGGGGUUUCCGCCCCUUAGUGCUGCAGCUAACGCAUUAAGCACUCCGCCUGGGGAGUACGACCGCAAGGUUGAAACUCAAAGGAAUUGACGGGGACCCGCACAAGCGGUGGAGCAUGUGGUUUAAUUCGAAGCAACGCGAAGAACCUUACCAAAUCUUGACAUCCUUUGACCGCUCUAGAGAUAGAGUCUUCCCCUUCGGGGGACAAAGUGACAGGUGGUGCAUGGUUGUCGUCAGCUCGUGUCGUGAGAUGUUGGGUUAAGUCCCGCAACGAGCGCAACCCUUAAGCUUAGUUGCCAUCAUUAAGUUGGGCACUCUAGGUUGACUGCCGGUGACAAACCGGAGGAAGGUGGGGAUGACGUCAAAUCAUCAUGCCCCUUAUGAUUUGGGCUACACACGUGCUACAAUGGAUAAUACAAAGGGCAGCGAAUCCGCGAGGCCAAGCAAAUCCCAUAAAAUUAUUCUCAGUUCGGAUUGUAGUCUGCAACUCGACUACAUGAAGCUGGAAUCGCUAGUAAUCGUAGAUCAGCAUGCUACGGUGAAUACGUUCCCGGGUCUUGUACACACCGCCCGUCACACCACGAGAGUUUGUAACACCCGAAGCCGGUGGAGUAACCUUUUAGGAGCUAGCCGUCGAAGGUGGGAC